AGGCGUCCCGGGGCUGAAGGCGGGGCCCGGGCGGGCUGAAGUGGGGCUGAAGGCGGGGAACCGGCAGCCAGGGUCAGGGGAAAGCCGUGCUCCCCCGGCAGCGGGACGUGCGUGCUCCGGCUGCCCUCAGCUCUGCCCCUCCCCGCCCGCCAUUGCACAGGGGUUGUUAGGGGCUGUUUUGUGGGGACUCGUUUGUCCACUCGCGUGUGGGGUUUUUUCCACAUUUCCUCACAGUUCCCUUACCCCAGGGACCGACGGGGAAGUUUCUAAGAUUUCAUCAUUCCACACAACGCCUCCGGAGAGCGCCUUGGCGGGGAAGGCGGCGCAGCUGUCACAGGUGCGGGAUAAUUGGGAUCAGCGGGAUAAUUGGGAUCAGCGGGAUAAUUGGGAUCAGCGGAGUCACGGGAGUUUCGGCACUGACGCGUCUCGGAACGGGCGGGUGUGCCUGAGUCAGCCCCGCAGCCCCCGGCCAUGCCCUCAGCAGCGCUCCAGGGCCCCACCUGCGCUUGGGCCGCAAACCCGCCCGAGGGACUGCUAGAGAGAGCUACAGCACUCCAGGUUUAAUAAGGUAUCUAAAUGUAUUUCAAAGAUGAGUUCAGCCUAAACGACUUCAGAAAUGCCACCUACAAAUACAGAGAUACUCAGCAGAUCGGUUAAAACAAGUGCUCAGAUACAGUGAGUGAUGUCUGUGGCUCUGUUCAGUGCAGAACUCCAGCUGGACAGGGCAUGUUGCUGAUGUCCUGUGUGUACUCCUUGUGUCACCACUCAAGCUGCUUACAGCUGAAAAGGGUGGUUCCCACCUUUCCCUUUGUGAACCAAGUCCUGCCCUCUGAAAAAGGUACACCUCGUGCAACUGACUUCCACAUUAACUCAGACCAGGGAGGGCAAAGGGGAAGUUCAUGGUUUCAAAAAAAGCCUCAGAAUUUACAAAGCAGCUGCCAAUUAGUCAGACCUUAAUUUUGCAAAUUUAUUUAGGAAAAAAAAAAAAUUAACAUGAGCAAAUGAGAAUACUUCAGUGUUACAACAGAGUAUAUAAAUGUCUAGCAAUAGUCAAAUAAUUUGAUCUUUAAAUACAAAAUAACCACAUGAACACCUAAUAUACAGGUUUCAUCUGAAUACAUAUUUAUUAGAUAAAUAUUAGGUUGUCACAUCAUCUAACUACAUACAGUUUUGCAAGACUAAAAAUCACAAUUAUUUUUUCUGACCAGUUUAAAGUAUGAAAUGAUUGCAUUGUACUGUACAUACAAUGUACAAACAAAGACAAUGGCCAUUUUUGCAUGUUACCUCAGAUUGUACUUUUUUUUUUUUUUAAUUCUCCUCUGAUCGUGAUAUCAAAAAUUGUACAAAGUAUGAAUUUGGUUACAAUUUUCUUUUUUUUUUUAAUCCCCGUAUUUUUCUUCAUUAUUUCUGUAGCACCCUAAAAAUACACAGGUGAUAGACUAGUACACGUAAGCUAAAUAUUACAUGUAGAUAAAACAAAACAAAACAAAGGGUCAGAGUAUAUUACAGAAGUGAAAGUGGAACAAAUGCUGAGACUCCACAAACGCUAACAAACAGGAUUCAUUUUCCACAUAAGAUGGAGCUUCAAGCUUUUUUUUAUUUUUUUCCUGCGAAAUAAAAACAAUGCACAUUCCAAGGAAAAUGAAUUUCUGUUAACAUGUCUCUAUUUGUCAUUUACAUAUGUACAGCUGUCCCUUGAGUCUCUGCUGCAGACACUGGCGUGUACUCUCAGUCCUAUAAUAAUGUCUUGGCAGCAGAACUGUAGAUCUCUGUGGGUUCUUUCCCAGAUGAACUUCCAUAGGGAAACGAUUAAAAGGUAAACAAACAAAAAAAGAAGAAAAAUACUACUGGAAUCUCAUAUAAUAAUUAAGCUUUAAAAGAAAUGACUGUGAUUACCCUAUUUGCUAGGUUUUUUUCCUCUAAACUUUAAUACGGCAGUGAACAGAUAAAAAAAUAACUAAAUUUUCAGAAGCUUUUUCAUACUGACUUCACUAUACAGUACCUGAUUUUAGCUGACAGAGAAAUUUAAAAACUGUCUCAAAUGUCCAACAUUUGGGUGAUGGGUAAAAAUUGUACUUUCUUUUUUUAAGUUCUGAUUAGAAACCAAAUGUUUCUGUAAGUUUAAAGAUGUCAACUGUCCGCUUUAAUUAUCUAUUACUGUACAAAGCAGAUGCCAACACUGCUCCAAACAUAAUGCUAAUAUCUACGGGGCUUUUUUUCCCUUUAUGCUUUCCAACAGGUACUUUUAAAUGACACAUUUUAAAUACUACCAGUUAGCAAAAGGUCAAUCCUUAACAUACCUGGCUUAAAAUACUAAUAUUGUGUUUAAGAGAAAAUUAAUUUUAGGUGACUAACUUAAAUGCUCAGGAAUCAGUGGAGAAUGGAACAUUAAACAGAAUCAAUUAAAAAAAAA